AUGACAUUGGUGACUAAUGACUUUGACAAAGGUCAAAAGUCAAGGUCAUGUCCCAUAUAGCGAAUUAUGUGUUUUUGACCUUAUUUAAAGGAUUUUCAGUGUGUUUUUAAGGUUGACCUUUGACCUUACAACUUUUUAGUCGAUAUCUCAAAAACGAUUGUACUUACAGAAAUAGUAAAUAGUGAAAAACGUUGAGAUGGAUGAGGCGCA
rnacentral:lncRNA from 1 species